AGCGAACGCUGGCGGCAGGCUUAACACAUGCAAGUCGAGCGGGCCUUUCGGGGUCAGCGGCGGACGGGUGAGUAACGCGUGGGAACGUGCCCUCUGGUUCGGAAUAACUCAGGGAAACUUGAGCUACUACCGGAUACGCCCUUUUGGGGAAAGGCUUGCUGCCGGAGGAUCGGCCCGCGUCUGAUUAGCUAGUUGGUGAGGUAACGGCUUACCAAGGCGACGAUCAGUAGCUGGUCUGAGAGGAUGAUCAGCCACACUGGGACUGAGACACGGCCCAGACUCCUACGGGAGGCAGCAGUGGGGAAUAUUGGACAAUGGGCGCAAGCCUGAUCCAGCCAUGCCGCGUGAGUGAUGAAGGCCUUAGGGUUGUAAAGCUCUUUUAUCCGGGACGAUAAUGACGGUACCGGAGGAAUAAGCCCCGGCUAACUUCGUG
rnacentral:rRNA from 1 species